CCUACGGGAGGCAGCAGUGGGGAAUAUUGGGCAAUGGGCGCAAGCCUGACCCAGCAACGCCGCGUGAAGGAAGAAGGCUUUCGGGUUGUAAACUUCUUUUCUCAGGGACGAAGAAAGUGACGGUACCUGAGGAAUAAGCCACGCCUAACUACGUGCCAGCAGCCGCGGUAAUACGUAGGUGGCAAGCGUUAUCCGGAUUUACUGGGUGUAAAGGGCGUGUAGGCGGGACUGCAAGUCAGAUGUGAAAACCACGGGCUCAACCUGUGGCCUGCAUUUGAAACUGUAGUUCUUGAGUACUGGAGAGGCAGACGGAAUUCCUAGUGUAGCGGUGAAAUGCGUAGAUAUUAGGAGGAACACCAGUGGCGAAGGCGGCUUACUGGACUGUAACUGACGUUGAGGCUCGAAAGCGUGGGGAGCAAACAGGAUUAGAUACCCUGGUAGUC
rnacentral:rRNA from 1 species